UACCAUCCUACUAAAUAAAAGGUAUUUGUUAGUAGGCAUGCCACUUUCUUGAAAAAUGAAUUCAUCUAAGAAGGAGACAGUAGGAGGAAUAUUGAACUUACGAAAGUUCAGAAUCUACAAAUCAAUCUAGAAAUAUCAAUAGUUGAAUCAUAAAAAGAUCCUCAAUCAAAAGUAUCCAAAUAUGAGGUACAUCUACAAUACACACAUCC
rnacentral:lncRNA from 1 species